rnacentral:tRNA from 1 species
UGCCAGAUCGUCUAAAGGUAGGACCGAGGCCUUUGAAGCCUUUAAUCUUGGUUCGAUUCCAAGUCUGGCAA